rnacentral:rRNA from 1 species
GUGAGUAAUACAUCGGAACAUGUCCUGUAGUGGGGGAUAGCCCGGCGAAAGCCGGAUUAAUACCGCAUACGAUCURAGGAUGAAAGCGGGGGACCUUCGGGCCUCGCGCUAUAGGGUUGGCCGAUGGCUGAUUAGCUAGUUGGUGGGGUAAAGGCCUACCAAGGCGACGAUCAGUAGCUGGUCUGAGAGGACGACCAGCCACACUGGGACUGAGACACGGCCCAGACUCCUACGGGAGGCAGCAGUGGGGAAUUUUGGACAAUGGGCGCAAGCCUGAUCCAGCAAUGCCGCGUGUGUGAAGAAGGCCUUCGGGUUGUAAAGCACUUUUGUCCGGAAAGAAAUCAUUCUGGCUAAUACCG